rnacentral:rRNA from 1 species
UUGACAUAUACAGGAAUGUUGUAGAGAUACAGCAGCCGCUUGCGGUCUGUAUACAGGUGCUGCAUGGCUGUCGUCAGCUCGUGCUGUGAAGUGUGGGUUAAGUCCCGCAACGAGCGCAACCCUAUCAUCUGUUGCCAGCAUUUAAGGUGGGGACUCAGAUGAGACUGCCGGUGACAAACCGGAGGAAGGUGGGGACGACGUCAAGUCAUCAUGGCCCUUAUGUCCUGGGCUACACACGUGCUACAAUGGCCGGUACAGAGUGAAGCGAAACCGCGAGGUGAAGCAAAACGCAGAAAGCCGGUCUCAGUACGGAUUGGAGUCUGAAACUCGACUUCAUGAAGUUGGAAUCGCUAGUAAUCGCGCAUCAGCAUGGCGCGGUGAAUACGUUCCCGGGCCUU